UACGGAGGGAGCUAGCGUUGUUCGGAAUUACUGGGCGUAAAGCGCACGUAGGCGGCGAUUUAAGUCAGAGGUGAAAGCCCGGGGCUCAACCCCGGAACUGCCUUUGAGACUGGAUUGCUUGAAUCCUGGAGAGGUGAGUGGAAUUCCGAGUGUAGAGGUGAAAUUCGUAGAUAUUCGGAAGAACACCAGUGGCGAAGGCGGCUCACUGGACAGGUAUUGACGCUGAGGUGUGAAAGCGUGGGGAGCAAACAGG
rnacentral:rRNA from 1 species